rnacentral:rRNA from 1 species
AGAGUUUGAUCAUGGCUCAGGACGAACGCAGGCGGCACGCUUAACACAUGCAAGUCGAACGAGAGAAGAGGAGCUUGCUUUUCUGAUCUAGUGGCGGACGGGUGAGUAACACGUGAGCAAUCUGCCUUUCAGAGGGGGAUACCGAUUGGAAACGAUCGUUAAUACCGCAUAACAUAAUUGAACCGCAUGAUUUGAUUAUCAAAGAUUUAUCGCUGAAAGAUGAGCUCGCGUCUGAUUAGCUAGUUGGUAAGGUAACGGCUUACCAAGGCGACGAUCAGUAGCCGGACUGAGAGGUUGAUCGGCCACAUUGGGACUGAGACACGGCCCAGACUCCUACGGGAGGCAGCAGUGGGGAAUAUUGCACAAUGGAGGAAACUCUGAUGCAGCGAUGCCGCGUGAGGGAAGAAGGUUUUAGGAUUGUAAACCUCUGUCUUCAGGGACGAAAAAAGACGGUACCUGAGGAGGAAGCUCCGGCUAACUACGUGCCAGCAGCCGCGGUAAUACGUAGGGAGCGAGCGUUGUCCGGAAUUACUGGGUGUAAAGGGAGCGUAGGCGGGAUCGCAAGUCAGAUGUGAAAACUAUGGGCUUAACCCAUAAACUGCAUUUGAAACUGUGGUUCUUGAGUGAAGUAGAGGUAAGCGGAAUUCCUAGUGUAGCGGUGAAAUGCGUAGAUAUUAGGAGGAACAUCAGUGGCGAAGGCGGCUUACUGGGCUUUAACUGACGCUGAGGCUCGAAAGCGUGGGGAGCAAACAGGAUUGGAUACCCUGGUAGUCCACGCCGUAAACGAUGAUUACUAGGUGUGGGGGGACUGACCCCUUCCGUGCCGCAGCAAACGCAAUAAGUAAUCCACCUGGGGAGUACGACCGCAAGGUUGAAACUCAAAGGAAUUGACGGGGGCCCGCACAAGCAGUGGAGUAUGUGGAUUAAUUCGAAGCAACGCGAAGAACCUUACCAGGUCUUGACAUCGUAUGCAUAGCUCAGAGAUGAGUGAAAUCUCUUCGGAGACAUAUAGACAGGUGGUGCAUGGUUGUCGUCAGCUCGUGUCGUGAGAUGUUGGGUUAAGUCCCGCAACGAGCGCAACCCUUACUGUUAGUUGCUACGCAAGAGCACUCUAGCAGGACUGCCGUUGACAAAACGGAGGAAGGUGGGGAUGACGUCAAAUCAUCAUGCCCCUUAUGACCUGGGCCUCACACGUACUACAAUGGCUGUCAACAGAGGGAAGCAAAGCCGCGAGGUGGAGCGAACCCCUAAAAGCAGUCUUAGUUCGGAUUGUAGGCUGCAACCCGCCUACAUGAAGUCGGAAUUGCUAGUAAUCGCAGAUCAGCAUGCUGCGGUGAAUACGUUCCCGGGCCUUGUACACACCGCCCGUCACGCCAUGGGAGUCGGUAACACCCGAAGCCUGUAGUCUAACCGCAAGGAGGACGCAGUCGAAGGUGGGAUUGAUGACUGGGGUGAAGUCGUAACAAGGUA